AGCGAACGCUGGCGGCAGGCCUAACACAUGCAAGUCGAACGGAUCCUUCGGGAUUAGUGGCGGACGGGUGAGUAACACGUGGGAACGUGCCCUUUGGUUCGGAACAACUCAGGGAAACUUGAGCUAAUACCGAAUGUGCCCUUCGGGGGAAAGAUUUAUCGCCUUUAGAGCGGCCCGCGUCUGAUUAGCUAGUUGGUGAGGUAAAGGCUCACCAAGGCGACGAUCAGUAGCUGGUCUGAGAGGAUGAUCAGCCACAUUGGUACUGAGACACGGCCCAAACUCCUACGGGAGGCAGCAGUGGGGAAUCUUGCGCAAUGGGCGAAAGCCUGACGCAGCCAUGCCGCGUGAAUGAUGAAGGUCUUAGGAUUGUAAAAUUCUUUCACCGGGGACGAUAAUGACGGUACCCGGAGAAGAAGCCCCGGCUAACUUCGUGCCAGCCGCCGCCGUAAGAC
rnacentral:rRNA from 1 species